rnacentral:tRNA from 2 species
GCUGAAAUAGCUCAGUUGGGAGAGCGUUAGACUGAAAUUUUAAAAGUCCUUGGUUCAAUCCCGGGUUUCAGCA